UAGGGAAUCUUCCGCAAUGGACGAAAGUCUGAUGGAGCAACGCCGCGUGAGUGAAGAAGGGUUUCGGCUCGUAAAACUCUGUUGUUAAAGAAGAACAUAUCUGAGAGUAACUGUUCAGGUAUUGACGGUAUUUAACCAGAAAGCCACGGCUAACUACGUGCCAA
rnacentral:rRNA from 1 species